AUGGCACUGAUGAUCAAGACAGCACGUUUCUGCCUUGUUAGCAUUAUUGUGACCCAUACAGACCUCUGCUAGCAAACAAACUUUACCUGCCUCGGAGCUUCCAAACGAAUCUUUAUUGACAACUGUCACCAGCCAGAACGGUCCGGAGCAACCGAGGAGCCGAUGGUGU